rnacentral:rRNA from 1 species
GACGAACGCUGGCGGCGUGCUUAACACAUGCAAGUCGAACGGAAAGGCCCUGCGUUUGUGGGGUGCUCGAGUGGCGAACGCGUGAGUAACACGUGUGUAACCUGCCCUUGACUUUGGGGUAACUUCAGGAAACUGGGGCUAAUACCGGACAGGAGCUGCUGCUGCAUGGUGGGGGUUGGAAAGUUUCGGCGGGUGGGGAUGGACUCGCGGCUUACCAGCUUGUUGGUGGGGUAGUGGCUUACCAAGGCUUUGACGGGUAGCCGGCCUGGGAGGGUGACCGGCGACAUUGGGACUGAGAGACGGCCCAGACGCCUACGGGAGGCAGCAGUGGGGAAUAUUGCACAAUGGGCGGAAGCCUGAUGCAGCAACGCCGCGUGCGGGAUGACGGCCUUCGGGUUGUAAACCGCUUUCGCCUGUGACGAAGCGUGAGUGACGGUAAUGGGUAAAGAAGCACCGGCUAACUACGUG